GCGAACCAUCAACUCCACUUUGACUCAGGCGCCAAACUGACCCCAGUGCACUGCUGUGAAUGGGAUUUACCUAUUUUAUUCAGUUCUGUGUGUUUUUGGUUCGUCAUUUUGUCACAUUGUCCAGUUGAAUAGAAAUAGUGUCCGUGUGCGUCAAGAAGAUUUAUGAACGGGUAGGCUUGGAUUACUUCUGGAGUGAACUUGUAUUGCGUGUUCUUGCGGGGACAGUUCAUAUCUAUUGUAGGACGAUGGUAAAGGCAUUAUCCGUCAUGACUUUACAUCUCGUAGGCAUUAUUAUGGGAGUCAGCAGGGUGAUUGCGUUGGAAUGGAUGCCUGACCCCCCAACAAUGAGCAUCCAGGACAAGGUCCUCAGGAUGAACCCAUCAGACUCGCUGGACAUCACCUGCAGUGGCCGUCAGUACCUGGAAUGGACCACAUCCUAUAAUCACAUACGUGCCGGCAGUCGUCUCUCCACUGUAGACUGUAGUGGGUCAGGAUUCUUCUGCACCACAUUACAAAUUUCCUCGGCCACUGUCAACGAGACUGGAGAGUAUUGAUGCUCCUACAGAGACCUGGCGGUGGAGGAUAGCAAAACCUCUGUGGCUGUUUAUGUCUUUGUCCAAGACUAUAAAGUGCCAUUUGUGCCCUUUGAUGAGGACUAUGAGAUUGUGCUUAUCAGUGAGGGAGUGCAGGUGGUUAUCCUAUGCCGCUGUCACGAAUACUACUGAAGGUGGCUCCCCUUCCCGUUCGGGUGGCGCUCGGCGGUCGUCGUCGCCGGUCUACUAGCUGCCACCGAUCCC